CUGAGCCAAAAGCCCUGCUGGCUGGUUCUGUGUAUGGACAACAACCGUAGUUACACUCUGCUCAUCUUUUUCUUUAUUCGUUUGGUUGCAGGUUCUCAUAACCGAAAACUCAAGAUCCUUCUCACACUUCAUUACCAAUGUAUGCGCCAUUAUCGGUGGUGUCUUCACGGUUGCUGGAAUCUUGGAUUCUAUUCUCCACCAGACGAUGACACUGAUGAAAAAGAUUGAACUUGGAAAAAACUUUUGAAGCUUUCCCUUAGAGAGUUUUAUUUCGUUUUCUGUGUAACCUAUCGGAAAUUUUUGUUAUGUUAUACACAACCUGAUGAGGCAUAAGUAUCCUUGAAGAUAUUGGGAAAAUGUUUAUCCUUUUGAAUGUUGUUAUACACAAUCAGAUGAGGCAGAAUCAUUUAGACGUU